CCUUUAGAAUAUAAAUUAAGGUCUAAUCUGCCCACUGAGUAAUUCAAUGGCCGCGGUAUUUUGACCGUGCGAAGGUAGCAUAAUCAUUAGUUUUUUAAUUGAAAGCUGGAAUGAAAGAUUGAAUGAGAAAAUAACUGUCUCAAAUUAAUUUAUUUAGAAAUUUAUUUUUAAGUCAAAAAGCUUAAAUAUUAUUAAAAGACGAGAAGACCCUAUAGAGUUUGAUAUUUAAUUUAUUUUUAAAUAAAUUGUUUAUAUUAAUUUAUUUUAAAUUAAUUAUUUUGUUGGGGUGACAGAAAAAUUUAAUAAACUUUUUUUAUAUUUUAAUACUUAUAAGUAAAUUAUUGAUCCAAAAUUUUUGAUUAUAAGAUUAAAUUACCUUAGGGAUAACAGCGUAAUUUUUUUUGAGAGUUCUUAUCGAAAAAAAAGAUUGCGACCUCGAUGUUGGAUUAAAAUUUAAUUUGGGUGUAGAAGCUAAAAAUUUAGGUCUGUUCGACCUUUAAAACUUU
rnacentral:rRNA from 1 species